GGAAGUAAAAGUGUAACAAGGUCUCCGUUGGUGAACCAGCGGAGGGAUCAUUACAGAGUUGCAAAACUCCCAAACCAUUGUGAACGUUACCUAUCCCGUUGCUUCGGCGGGCGGCCCGGGCCCCGCGCCCGGCGCCCCCCGUCCCCCCGUGGGCGCCCGCCGGAAGUAAACCAGACCCUUGAAUUGCAUGGCCUCUCUGAGUCUUCUGUACUGAAUAAGUCAAAACUUUCAACAACGGAUCUCUUGGUUCUG
rnacentral:misc_RNA from 1 species